rnacentral:rRNA from 1 species
GAUGAACGCUGGCGGCGUGCUUAACACAUGCAAGUCGAACGGACUUAGGUUGAAGCCUAGCGAUUCCUAAGUUAGUGGCGGACGGGUGAGUAACGCGUGGGUAACCUGCCUCACACUGGGGGAUAACAGUUAGAAAUAGCUGCUAAUACCGCAUAAGCGCACAGGACCGCAUGGUCUGGUGUGAAAAACUCCGGUGGUAUACGAUGGACCCGCGUCUGAUUAGCUAGUUGGUGAGGUAACGGCCCACCAAGGCGACGAUCAGUAGCCGGUCUGAGAGGAUGAACGGCCACAUUGGGACUGAGAUACGGCCCAGACUCCUACGGGAGGCAGCAGUGGGGAAUAUUGGGCAAUGGGGGAAACCCUGACCCAGCAACGCCGCGUGAAGGAAGAAGGCCUUCGGGUUGUAAACUUCUUUUACCAGGGACGAAGAACGUGACGGUACCUGGAGAAAAAGCAACGGCUAACUACGUG